CCUACGGGGGGCUGCAGUGGGGAAUAUUGGACAAUGGGGGCAACCCUGAUCCAGCCAUGCCGCGUGUGUGAAGAAGGCCCUCGGGUUGUAAAGCACUUUCAGUGAGGAAGAACGCCUGGUGGUUAAUACCCAUCAGGAAAGACAUCACUCACAGAAGAAGCACCGGCUAACUCCGUGCCAGCAGCCGCGGUAAUACGGAGGGUGCGAGCGUUAAUCGGAAUUACUGGGCGUAAAGCGCGCGUAGGUGGCUUGAUAAGCCGGUUGUGAAAGCCCCGGGCUCAACCUGGGAACGGCAUCCGGAACUGUCAAGCUAGAGUACAGGAGAGGAAGGUAGAAUUCCCGGUGUAGCGAUGAAAAGCGUAGAGAUCGGAAGGGAUACCAAUGGCGAAGGCGGCCUUCUGGACUGACACUGACACUGAGGUGCGAAAGCGUGGGUAGCACACAGGAAUAGAUACACUAGUAGUC
rnacentral:rRNA from 1 species